UACAGAGGUCUCAAGCGUUGUUCGGAUUCAUUGGGCGUAAAGGGUGCGUAGGCGGCGCGGUAAGUCGGGUGUGAAAUCUCGGAGCUUAACUCCGAAACUGCAUUCGAUACUGCCAUGCUUGAGGACUGGAGAGGAGACUGGAAUUUACGGUGUAGCGGUGAAAUGCGUAGAUAUCGUAAGGAAGACCAGUGGCGAAGGCGGGUCUCUGGACAGUUCCUGACACUGAGACACGAAGGCCAGGGGAGCAAACGGG
rnacentral:rRNA from 1 species